GAGAGGAGGGAGGAGAAACUUUGCCUCUUGUUGUUUUAGCCCCUUAAGUGCCGGGAACUCUGUUGGGAGGAAAAAUGUCCUUCUUCAAUUUCCGUAAGAUCUUCAAGUUGGGGAGCGAGAAGAAGAAGAAGCAGUACGAGCAUGUGAAGAGGGACCUGAACCCCGAGGAGUUUUGGGAAAUUAUUGGAGAAUUGGGCGACGGAGCCUUUGGGAAAGUGUACAAGGCCCAGAAUAAAGAGACCAAUGUUUUAGCUGCUGCAAAGGUGAUUGACACCAAAUCUGAAGAAGAACUUGAAGAUUACAUGGUUGAAAUUGAUAUUUUAGCAUCUUGUGAUCACCCAAAUAUAGUCAAGCUUCUAGAUGCCUUCUAUUAUGAGAACAAUCUUUGGAUCCUCAUUGAAUUUUGUGCAGGUGGAGCAGUGGAUGCUGUGAUGCUUGAACUUGAGAGACCAUUAACUGAAUCCCAAAUACAAGUAGUUUGUAAACAGACCUUAGAGGCGUUGAACUACUUACAUGAUAAUAAAAUCAUCCACAGAGAUCUAAAGGCUGGCAACAUUCUUUUCACCCUAGAUGGAGAUAUUAAGUUGGCCGAUUUUGGAGUAUCAGCUAAAAACACAAGGACAAUUCAAAGAAGAGAUUCCUUUAUUGGCACACCAUAUUGGAUGGCUCCUGAGGUAGUCAUGUGUGAAACGUCGAAGGACAGACCCUAUGACUACAAAGCUGAUGUUUGGUCCCUGGGUAUCACUUUAAUAGAAAUGGCUGAGAUAGAACCACCUCAUCAUGAAUUAAAUCCAAUGCGAGUGCUGCUAAAAAUAGCAAAAUCUGAGCCCCCUACAUUAGCACAGCCAUCAAGAUGGUCUUCAAAUUUUAAGGACUUUCUAAAGAAAUGCUUGGAAAAAAAUGUGGAUUCCAGGUGGACAACAUCUCAACUGCUGCAGCACCCCUUUGUUACUGUGGAUUCCAACAAACCAAUCCGAGAGUUGAUUGCAGAGGCGAAGGCGGAGGUAACAGAAGAAGUGGAAGACGGCAAAGAGGAGGAUGACGACGAAGAGGCAGAGAGUUCCCUGCCAAUACCUGCAAGUAAGCGUGCCUCCUCUGACCUUAGCAUUGCCAGUUCUGAAGAAGAUAAACUUUCACAAAAUGCUUGCGUUUUGGAAUCUGUCUCAGAAAAAACAGAACGUAAUACUCCUGAAGAUAAGUUUAACAGCAGAGUUCUUAACGAAAAGCCCAUUACUAAUGAGCCUGAAAAAGCUGUGGAGGGUAUUGAUGAACAUAUUAAUGAUACUCCUUUAGAAGCUAUGGCUGAGCUCCACAAUGGAACAGUAAUAGUCAAGGAAAGUGGGAGAGAGGAGAAGAGACCCAAGCUUGAAAAUCUGCCUGAUACAAAAGACCAAGAAACAGUAGACAUGAGUUCAGUCAGUGAAGGAAAAGAGAAUAAUAUGACUUUAGAAACAAAUAUUGAACAGAAUCUGAAACCUGAGGAAGAAAGGGUUCAGGAAAACCAACAGAUAUUUGAAAAUAAGGUUAUAAAAUCUGAAGAAGAAAUUAAAGAUACUGUGAUUCAAACAAUGGAUUUAGUUUCUCAGGAGACUGGAGAAAAAGAGGCAGAUAUUCAGGCAGUGGACAACGAAGUUGAGCUUACAAAGGAAGACACCCAAGAGAAUUUGGGAAAAGAUGAGAAAACUCAAAAAGAUGUGAUCAGUGAUACAAGUAAUGCAAUAGGAGCAAAUGAGGCUGUGGAUGUUGCUCAUAAGGCAGCUGAAAACAAUGCUAAGGAUGCUCAGAGCAGUGAUGGGAAAGAAAUGGUUGAAGCAGGCCAGAAAUUAGCAAGUAAACCCACAAAGGAUCCUGAGGUUGGUGGUACUGAGGAAGUUUCUAUUAGAGAAAUAGUUGAACCUGAUGAGAUAGAUCAAAAAUCUGUACAAGGUAAAGGUGAGAAACAGUUAAUCAGCAGUUCCGAGAACAUAGUGGAGACCAGUGAGGAACCCAGGACAAAUGAAGUUGAAAUUACUGAGUCAAGGAGCACUGAAGAAAUAGAGGUCAGAAGUGCAGUGAUUCAUACUGACCAAGAGGCUUCAGGAACUGAAAUGCAGGAUGCUCAUGAAGCCUCUACUCAGACAGAUAUAGAGCAAAAAGAGAUUCCAUGUGAAGUGCCAAUUAAAACAGAACCUGAAGUUACUGCCGCUUCACGGCCCAGUCAACCUCAGCCUGUUCCAAUACCUAGUAUUAAUGUCAACUCUGAAGAUGCAGAAAACAAAGGGGAAAUAGGUGUUUUAUCAAAAACUGAAACCAUGUUGCUACCAGAAUCUGAGACUCAAAAGGAAAAUGAUACUGAUUCAGGCACAGGUUCCACUGCUGAUAAUAGCAGCAUUGACUUGAAUUUAUCCAUCUCUAGCUUCCUAAGCAAAAGUAAGGACAGUGGAUCAAUAUCUUUACAAGAAACAAGAAGACAAAAGAAAACAUUGAAGAAAACACGCAAAUUUGUUGUUGAUGGUGUGGAAGUGAGUGUAACGACAUCAAAGAUAGUUACAGACAGUGAUUCCAAAACUGAAGAAUUGAGGUUUCUUAGACGUCAGGAACUCCGGGAAUUAAGAUUUCUUCAAAAAGAAGAGCAGAGAGCCCAACAGCAGCUCAAUAGCAAACUGCAGCAGCAACGAGAACAAAUUUUCCGGCGCUUUGAGCAAGAAAUGAUGAGCAAAAAGCGACAAUAUGACCAAGAAAUUGAGAAUCUAGAAAAACAGCAGAAACAGACUAUUGAACGUCUAGAACAAGAACACACAAAUCGCUUGCGAGAUGAAGCCAAGCGCAUUAAAGGAGAACAAGAGAGAGAGUUCUCCAAAUUUCAGAGUAUGUUGAAGAACCGGAAGAAGGAGGUUAUAAAUGAAGUGGAGAGAGCACCCAAAGAGCUGAGAAAAGAGCUCAUGAAACGCAGGAAAGAGGAGCUUGCACAAAUCCAGCAUGCUCAGGAACAAGAGUUUGUUCAGAAGCAACAGCAGGAAUUAGAUGGCUCUCUGAAAAAGAUCAUCCAGCAGCAGAAGGCAGAGUUAGCCAAUAUUGAACGAGAGUGCCUGAACAACAAGCAGCAGCUCAUGAGAGCUCGAGAAGCUGCAAUUUGGGAGCUUGAAGAACGACACUUACAAGAAAAGCACCAGCUGCUCAAACAGCAACUUAAAGAUCAGUAUUUCAUGCAAAGACAUCAGUUACUUAAGCGCCAUGAGAAGGAAACGGAACAAAUGCAGCGUUACAAUCAACGACUUAUUGAGGAAUUGAAAAACAGACAGACUCAAGAAAGAGCAAGACUACCUAAGAUUCAGCGCAGUGAAGCCAAGACUCGAAUGGCCAUGUUUAAGAAAAGUUUGAGAAUUAACUCCACAGCCACACCAGAUCAGGACCGUGAAAAAAUUAAACAGUUUGCUGCUCAGGAAGAAAAGAGGCAGAAAAAUGAGAGAAUGGCUCAGCAUCAAAAACAUGAAAAUCAAAUGCGGGAUCUUCAGUUGCAGUGUGAAGCCAACGUCCGAGAGCUGCAUCAGCUGCAGAAUGAAAAAUGCCACCUUUUGGUUGAGCAUGAGACUCAGAAACUAAAGGAGUUAGAUGAGGAACACAGCCAGGAAUUAAAAGAAUGGAGAGAGAAACUGAGACCUAGGAAAAAGACACUGGAAGAAGAAUUUGCCAGGAAACUGCAGGAACAGGAAGUGUUCUUUAAAAUGACCGGGGAGUCUGAAUGCCUUAACCCGUCAGCACAGAGCCGAAUUUCCAAAUUCUAUCCUAUUCCAAGCUUGCAUUCCACUGGCUCGUGACCCUGGGAAGCGUUCUGUGGUCUGGUUUGGCUUUUAAAAUAUGUCAUUUUAUUCUCUCCAUCUGCCACAGUCUGCGGUAGAGUGCACGAAGACAAUCACCUGCCUCACCUCCUAGGUGUUUUUUUGUCUGUCUUGUUUGUUUAGCAGAGAUGAAGGGAAAGGAACUAACAGAUGCUGGGCCAUGUUGGCGUAGCAGCAUCCUGCAGUAAUUCCCUAAGGUAAUUCUGUAUAUUAAUCUUAAAAAUUGUGUUCUUUAGACACUGUUACCUGAAAAACUCUUAGAGAUAUAAUGUUUAAACUUAUUUAACACAAAAACCUGUUAUGUCACUUAGUAUUGGCAAAUAUCUUUUUUCUCAAUGAGGCCUGAAUUCUAUAGUUGAAGCUCUGCUGUAGAGAGUUGCAAUAAUUUUCUUUUGGUAGAUCAGCUGUCAUGAAAAAGCUAUGAGUUGCUCAAAAUAGAAUACCGAUUCAUUAAAUAAAUCAAUUUUAUCUUUAAAUAUUUAAAAGAGAAAAAUUAUUUCAGUAAUCUAAAAUAAUUACCUGUUUAGGCAUGAGCUAACAAUCAAGGGUGCUAAUUUUAUUAAGAUAGUGCCUAAAACACUAAAUUUCAAUUGAAUCUAAAAUAGGAUUUUCUUCUUUGAUUCAACAGGGACGAAACAUCCUUAGUAUUAAGCAUUAUUGUUUUUUAAAUCUUGCUUCUAUUACCACUUGAUAGAAUUUUCAUCCUAAAGCAUGUUAUACAAAGUUGGAAACAUGAAAAAAAAAAAGAUAGCUUUUAGAUAGCCAAGUUGGAAAUGUAAAACUCACCAAAUUAAAAAAAAUAACAUGGACUUAGUUUUCCCAGCUUAAUUUUUUAAAUAAUACAUGAGCUAGUUAAAUGACAUCUUCCAUCUUAGCAAAUUCUGUUCAUUGAAAACUCUAUCAGAGGCCUGCUGGCUUUGAGUUAUAUUUAUAAAUGUAUUUUUUUGAAAUUGAUUUUAAAAGAGGCAUUUAUUCAGAAUACUUUAAAAACAAUUUAAGUAAAAUAUUUAGGUAAAUGUUGGAAAUGACGUAGUUGUUUUGAAAUAAAGUCAUUUAUAUUUUGGUUUUAUUUUGUUCCAUGUUUAAAUUAUUUACUUUGAGUGGGAAAAGCCUGAAACCUUUAUCAUAUGGUUGCUGAUAUGUGUAAUUAUUAAUGAAAUGCUCACUCUUAGUCCCUCUUGAGGCUUAGAAUUUCAAGCACGUGUCAGGUCAAACAGUAUUAUGGACUGUACUGUGGUGUGUGAGACAGUAAGUGAUGCUUGCUGCCUGCCAUUUGCAACCUUUUUUAAGAGUACUAGGUACCAAAUUAUACACGUUUCGGUUUUUGUUAUAUUACAUUUCAUGCUGGUGAAAAUUUAAAUAUAACUGUGGGAACACUUGGAACACUUAAUUCAUAUUAAGAAAAUGUAAAUAUCUGUAGCACUUUCUUGCAGUUAAUUUGAAAACGUUGAAUGCUGAACCUUGUCAGUGGUUUAGAUGAUUUAAAUGCAUGUGUAAUUUUCUUUUUGUAAUUGUUUUGACAAGCAUAAUUUACUUGGACAACUUUGUAGGUAGCCUUAACUUCUGGCCAAGUUUGUUUUUUAUAUAAAUAUAUACAUAUAUAUAUAUACACUCACACGCAUAUAUUAUGUAUGGUUGUAAGUUCAUACACCUGUCACAUGAAUGUGUUACUGUAUACAAAACUCCUUCAAUGCUUUAUUCUCAAAUGCUGGGUUGAAAAAUGUUUUGAAAGCCUUUUAAAAUAUAAAUCUUUAUAAAGUAAUAUUCAGGAUGAUGGAAAUUGAUUAUGUUAUGAUAAAAAUGGCAGUAUAAAGUUCCUCAGUGUAUUUAAUGAUUUAUUUGAAGAGGGAAAGAGGAGGAAGGUUCUCAGACCACUUUCUCCUUUUGAAAUUUCCAGUAUCAUUUAAAUUAUAUCCUGUGUGCUUAAUAGUCUGCGGCACAUAAUCCCUUUGGCCUGUGUAUUUGGUUCUGUUUGUCUCUUUCAAGUUGACACUCAGAGUAUUGAGUAAAGGAGAGUGACUCGGAGUAGAAUGAUUGACAUUCUGGUCAGUUUAUUUGCAACUGUCGCAUCUGCCCUUUGGGUUCAGUAUUUAUUAUGCUCGAGUCUUCUUUCAAAAAUGACCGUAUUGAUGUGGGCCCAGGACUACAAAAUGAUACGUAUGUAGAGGUGAAAUGUUCAUUUUAAUAAUUAAAGUUUAUAAGUCUUUUCAAAAAGUGCUGUUACAGAAUAUGCUGUUCGUGCCCAUCCCGCCUGUUUCUUCUUAGGCCCUGUACUCACAUAGAUGAUGGUGAGCUCUCUUUCUUGCAUGUAGUGCAGGUGGGGAGCAGGGAAGGGCACAGACUUGUUUGAAAUCAAAGAAUACAGUCGGCCCAUUCCCGAUUUGGUGGCUGCUGCCGUGGCAGAAUGUGCUAUGAAGUGCAUAAAACAAGUUCUUCAUACGCGCACCCUAAUCGCUCACGCUCCCCUCUGCCCUGCGUGCUGUGAGCGCACCAGACCGCCACACUCUGCAGGCCCAGCUCAGCUCGUUGCACCAGGUUGCCUUUCCUAGUCCUGUCAAUCCAUAGUUGAGUGUGAGUUGCUGAAUUAGCUGCUAUUCUAUAUGGAGUCACAAUUAAGCUUUUUCUUACCCUUUUCUAUGGGGAAGCUGUAGGGUGAGUAAGGAGGAAAUUGAGUGCUUAUACUUUGCUGAAAAUAUUAGAACUUUCCUCUGACAGUAUACAGCAAAUUGUAAUUAAAUAUAAACCAGAACCAGAGCUACCUCUAAGUAGUGUUUCCUCAAGCACAAAGCUCUCAGGCAUAUGAGACCCACUUUAACGGAGGGUCUCUGAUUUCUCAAGCAUCAGCGAGUUUCAGAAGCAACUGUCUUUUGUACUCUUCUAAGUUCCCUUGUAACUACACACUUUCCCCCAUUCCACACUGUGCUUAAAUGACAAAGACUCUUCUGAGAAGCCAAAUUCUGUCAAACGAUUAGCUAGAGAUAGUGUUGAUUAAAGGAAAACCUAGAACUGAGGUGAAAGAGGAGAGUUAGUUCUAGCUCUAAUAGUCUUCUGAUUAAAUAAAUUAAUUCUUUUCUGGGAAAUGAUCUUUUAUAGGAAAUGGGAUAUUUUAAAUGCUUACGUUUAAGGCACAGCAGUUAAUGCCUCUAUUGUUGCUUUUCUGUGGCUGACAUGGUUUUGAUACAGCUUUACAAUUUCUGCUACUAAGCUUUCGUAGAAUGUUAUACCAGUUUUAAAUGUUGGCUGCAGCUUUUCGUGAUCCUUCUUUGAUUUGCAGUGUAAUAACUUCACAAGCUAAAUGUUCAGAAGGAAUUUUGUUUCAGAUUAUGCCUCUUGUCUACUUGGGAGCAAUGUGUCUUUUCAAUCAUGGGAUUGACAAAUGAAAAAUAAAGUUGUUUCUUAAUCUA